CCUACGGGGUGCAGCAGUGUGGAAUAUUGCACAAUGGGGGGAACCCUGAUGCAGCAAUGCCGCGUGGGUGAAGAAGCACUCCGGUGCGUAAAGCCCUGUCAGCAGGGAAGAAAAUGACGGUACCUGACUAAGAAGCCCCGGCUAACUACGUGCCAGCAGCCGCGGUAAUACGUAGGGGGCAAGCGUUAUCCGGAUUUACUGGGUGUAAAGGGAGCGUAGACGGCUAAUCAAGUCAGAAGUGAAAACCCAGGGCUCAACCUUGGGAGUGCUUUUGAAACUGAGUAGCUAGAGUGCAGGAGAGGUAAGCGGAAUUCCUAGUGUAGCGGUGAAAUGCGUAGAUAUUAGGAGGAACACCAGUGGCGAAGGCGGCUUACUGGACUGUAACUGACGUUGAGGCUCGAAAGCGUGGGGAGCAAACAGGAUUAGAUACCCUGGUAGUC
rnacentral:rRNA from 1 species